rnacentral:ncRNA from 1 species
AGUCUUCAGGGCAGGGUGAAAUUCCCGAUCGGCGGUAAAGUCCGCGAGCUUAGGCAUGAUCCGGUGUAACUCCGGGACCGACAGUAUAGUCUGGAUGGAAGAAGC